rnacentral:tRNA from 3 species
GCGCCCGUAGCUCAACGGAUAGAGCAUCUGACUACGGAUCAGAAGGUUGGGGGUUCGAAUCCCUCCGGGCGUG